rfam:Rhizobium etli CFN42 plasmid p42a transfer region, complete sequence.
CGUCAAGAGUCUUUGGCAUCGUUUUGGUGGGCGUUUUUCUGUUGCCUUUAGAAAGGUAGAGGAAAAUG